rnacentral:misc_RNA from 1 species
AAGUCGUAACAAGGUUUCCGUAGGUGAACCUGCGGAAGGAUCAUUACCAAAGUAAAUUCACUUACCACUUGUGAACCGAGUCUAAGUCCUUGGGGGAGAUGUGAAAUUUGAAGGAAAAGUGUGUUGUGAGGGGUUCUCCCCCCCGCUCUGCACUUCUCCGUCUCUUUUCCUCUCCCCCAGCGGGGUGCCCGCCAUGCGCUUGCGUUUGGUGGUCUACAUCCGGCAUUGUAUUAAACCACAUGUAUUCAGUUUAAACUGGUUGUAUAGUAUACCUUUUCUCUUUUUGAGAAAUCAAAAAGUAAUGACAACUUUUAACGGUGGAUCUCUUGGCUCGU